GUCGGGAUAGCUCAGA
rnacentral:tRNA from 1 species